CGCCUCUUGCUAACAAAGGAAGUACUAGAGGUCCCGCCUGCCCUGUGACCACAAAGUUUAACGGCCGCGGUAUCCUGACCGUGCGAAGGUAGCGUAAUCAUUUGUCUUUUAAAUAGAGACCUGUAUGAAUGGCAUAACGAGGGUUUAACUGUCUCCUUCCCCCAGUCAAUGAAAUUGAUCUGCCCGUGCAGAAGCGGACAUAAAUACAUAAGACGAGAAGACCCUAUGGAGCUUUAGACAAAAGAUCAAACAUGUAAAGAAACCAAAACAACCAAAAGGAACACGAAGGCCACAAAACCCAACGUAAACUGAUCUAAAUGUCUUCGGUUGGGGCGACCAUGGGGGAAAGAAAAGCCCCCACGAGGAACAGGGACAACCCCUAAACUAAGAGGGACACCUCUAAGCAACAGAAAAUCUGACCAAAAUGACCCAGGAUACUAAUCCUGAUCAACGAACCAAGUU
rnacentral:rRNA from 1 species